CGCUGGCGGCAGGCCUAACACAUGCAAGUCGGACGGUAGCACAGAGGAGCUUGCUCCUUGGGUGACGAGUGGCGGACGGGUGAGUAAUGUCUGGGGAUCUGCCCGAUAGAGGGGGAUAACCACUGGAAACGGUGGCUAAUACCGCAUAACGUCGCAAGACCAAAGAGGGGGACCUUCGGGCCUCUCACUAUCGGAUGAACCCAGAUGGGAUUAGCUAGUAGGCGGGGUAAUGGCCCACCUAGGCGACGAUCCCUAGCUGGUCUGAGAGGAUGACCAGCCACACUGGAACUGAGACACGGUCCAGACUCCUACGGGAGGCAGCAGUGGGGAAUAUUGCACAAUGGGCGCAAGCCUGAUGCAGCCAUGCCGCGUGUAUGAAGAAGGCCUUCGGGUUGUAAAGUACUUUCAGCGGGGAGGAAGGCGAUGCGGUUAAUAACCGCGUCGAUUGACGUUACCCGCAGAAGAAGCACCGGCU
rnacentral:rRNA from 1 species